rnacentral:misc_RNA from 1 species
UUUAGUUGUUUUUAAAAUUAAAUUACUUUAUUGUGAUUGUGCAACUAUAACAUAAUGUAUUUGCUUGAAAUAUUGUAAUUCUGUUUUAUUUUUUCAGUUCUUCCAAAAAAUCGCCUGAAACCGAUAUCUUCAAAAUCAUAAGAGAAGAAGAGAAGAUCACCAGCGAGGGCAGUUCGAAAACCGUCAAGACAACAUCAUCGUUUACCAGCCGCGUAUCGACAGGUUCUAGUCGACGCACUACGAUAACAGACGGUUUUCAAAAAAUGGCAGACAGCGAAGACAUCCCAAUUCCAUUUUCGCAAUAUGCACAAGAGUUUGAGCUACCACAAGAAUUUGACGAUAGCGACUUAUAUAAAAAAAUUAAAAAGAACAUCGAAAACCCUAAAGCCAAGAAACGUAAUAAAGUUAACAUUCAUAAUAAAGUAGUGAAAAGGACUCAAGGACACCCACCAUCUUUUGUGAUAAAUAAUCAUGAGAUCAAAGGCAAUAAACUGAUCAAAAUUCAAAUAAUCAACAUAACAGAGGAUGUAAGGGAUCAAAACGAUGAACAGAACGAAAAUGUAUUACUGAGCGCGCAGUAUGUUGCAGGCGAUAAUUUUGAUGAAAUUAUUGACAGCACAGAGGCUUUAAUAAAUAAAAUUUCAAAAAAAAUUUGUGGAUACAGUACUAGUUAUUAAAGUUGUAUUUUAAAUAUUAUAUAAGUAAUAAAUAUUAUAU